ensembl:lncRNA
GCUAACUGAAACAACAAAAACAGAGAUCCUGGGUGAGAAGUCAGAGCUGGGACUGUGCGUGCUCUUGUAGCGUCCUCACCGAGCGAUGCCCCAAACGGGCUCUGCACAAAUGACUUGUUAGAUCAGUUGGUGAAAUCUCAUUAUGAUCCAAAUCUUUGGAAUGCAGUUUUGUUGUACUGGAAAAAAGAGCUAAAAAUCACAUGGGAUCUAGUCCGCUGACCAGGGAUCAAACCCGCAACCCCUGCAUUGGAAGGCGGAGUCUUAACUCCUGGGCCACCUCGGAAGUCCUGGGAAGGAAAGCCAGCUCACACAGAAGCGUCCGCACGAGAGCCACGCGAAGCAGCACAGGACGGAAGCAGCGGGCAUCUCUGAGGAAGCAGGGCCUCAAGGUUCCAACUGUCAAGAUGGUCCGGGAAGAAAUGGUCUCGCUCUCCACACCCCCAAAGUUGGCCCUGUGAGCAAGUCUAAUAGGACUUUUUUCAGUUUCAUAAAAUAUCUUGAUAACUGGAAAGUGCCAGUUAAUGGUAACCUGUUCCAACUAUGAAUUUCACAAAGAUUAAUAUACCCCUUUAGGUUUCUUAAGAUUCUAUCAGGAGGCCUCCCCUAGUCUAGGGUGUUUUACAAUCUCUGUGGGCACGAAGCUCAACUGAAACUACCAUUCAACAGCCUAACUGUCAUCUUCAUCUUCUCCUGGCAUAAAAAUACAUAUUUUUUUCCCAUAAUAAAGAUUUUUUAUAAUAGCAAUAAAGUAACUCCAGAGAACAUGGUUGUCUUGAGAUAGUUUAACUGUGUCUGGUACCUCAUAACGCCCUGGGGAUACAGCAGGCCCAUAAUACUCCCUUUCGCUGCCAUGUCUUUGCUUAAUUAAGGAAUAAAGCCAAAAGGUCAAGGCUGGAGAAAAAUGUAAAUCUUCAAAACUUUUCAUUCUUGACCCAAACUCUGUGUCAUAAAACCUCAGUUAUCUCUGUAACAAGCAGCACACCUACCCAGUGAGUUAGGAGAUACCCGAAUAUACAUUACAUCUUUAAAAUAUGCUUUUA